AGUGGUAAGAAUAACAGAGUUUCUUCAUGUCUUUCUUUUUACAUGCCUUCCUUCUCAACAAGGAGAUGUUAGAAUCACAAAAGUUGGACUUUCAGGCUCUGCAUUAAUCAAAACAACAAAAAUCCUUAAAGAAUGAGACGAUUCAUUUAAGUCCACUGCUUUGCAAAUAUGGAAUCAGGGGUGCAAUAUGUUGAUGGUGUUCUGUGGAGGACAAUGUGCAGAAGACAUCUUAGACAUACAGAAGACAAAUUUUAAGUGCAUUUGGUAUUCAGAAGAAACAGAUUUUUAAGAGAGAACAAAAUUCUCUCCCAGAUCAUCAGAUAUAACAAGUUUGAUGCUGCACAAGUGACAUUUUUUUGUGUGUGAAUGCAGCAGAAAUCUGUUUCUCCUGAGUCCCCUGCUAUUUAUGAAUGCAAAGAAGAAACCAACCUUCCCUUCCCUAAUUGCACCUGGCAAAUAGUCAGAAUGACAGAUUGGGAAUGUUCUUAGUUAGUAAAUUCCUUAGACAGAGCCAAACACCCUGACACACACAACAAUUAUAUCUUCUCUCCCACCUCCCACAUACACAAUCACCAUAGCUGUCAUUUCUACCACCAUUGAGAAAAUACCUAAG